UAUUGAAAGUUCUUUUCUGUCGUGGCUUUCAGGUGGUCUUAAGGAAUUGAUUGUAUCGUUUUGUUGUGUUUGCAGUUGGUGUAUGGUGCGGGACAUGCGCCUGUUCCAGCAGUACUGGGGGCUUUUCCCCCUCUCGGUCUGUGUGAUCAGCCCAAGACCAAGGUGUGCAGCAGGCUGGUACCGCUCUGUGCACCGUGAAGCACCUUCAGCCAAGGUCAAGCCAAUUUGGAAGCACUCUGCAGAGAUCUGCCUGGGAGGAAAAGCAGAGCCAGCCACUGGAAACUGACACGGGAGCUCUGGUGAGGACUGCUGCUCCCCCUGCCUCGGUGGGGGAACUCCUGAGCUCCCAUUCCUCGGCUGGGAGUGUUGCUCCUCUCAUCCAGCCAAGCCAGAGACCUCCAAGGUAAGGAGCAGGUAAGGUUGAAGUAAUGACAUCUCCCGAGUAAGAAGUGACAUGACAAAAGGAAACGGCCUCAGGUUGCACCAGGGAAGGCUUAGAUUGGAUUUUCGGAACAAAUUUCUUUACUGAAAGUGUGGUCAGGCAUUGGAGCAGGCUGCCCAGGGAAGUGCCCAUCCCUGGAGACGUUGAAGGGAUGUGUAGAUGUGCUCCUGCCUGCACACUGAGGCUCUGGCAUGGACCUGGCUUUCCGUUGCCAUUGACUGGAGCAGAGGGUAAUCAGGAGUUCUCUCGGCUGUCUGAGGCACAGAGCCGUGGAACCAAGUAAGCCCGAGGCUCCUGCGUGCUUGCUGGGAGCCUCGAGAUGAGUGUGCAUCCUUGCAAGCUUGCAGGUUAUUGGAAUAUGCUAAGGAAAGCAGAGGGAGGGAGGGAGGGAGGGAG